rnacentral:rRNA from 1 species
UACGGAGGGGGCUAGCGUUGUUCGGAAUUACUGGGCGUAAAGGGCACGUAGGCGGGCUGUUAAGUCGGGGGUGAAAUCCUGAGGCUCAACCUCAGAAUUGCCUUCGAUACUGGCGGUCUUGAGUGCGGGAGAGGUGAGUGGAAUUCCCAGUGUAGAGGUGAAAUUCGUAGAUAUUGGGAAGAACACCAGUGGCGAAGGCGGCUCACUGGCCCGCAACUGACGCUGAGGUGCGAAAGCGUGGGGAGCAAACAGG